CCUGUUCAGCUGUUCCCAGCGCCGCGGGUGACAGGCGCUGAGCUUCACCAGCACUGUCUCCGAACGCCACCCCUUCCACAGGCUUCUCCGCACCGCGCUGCUAACGCAUCCGUCUCCUCCCACUGCAGGAGUUCAAGGGCAAGACCAGCACUACCCGCACGCCUGUCUCGAGCCUGGCGAGGCCAAAAAUGCCCAGAAUUGUUCCAAUGAAGUGGAACAAUCCCCCAAAACUAACUUCCUGAGAUGAAAUGGACAAGAGGAAACAUCGUUCCAGCUGAACGCUUCAAAUUUGAGAAUCUUCGGAAUAAGAAAGGGCAUUCUCACUGCAGCUUCCACAACUCUACCACUGACAUCUGGACAGAAAGCCACUGCACGGCAAGAAAAGACCCUGGAAGCAAGAACUAAACACCCGGUGUAUUGACCUUGUCGGGCUAGAGCGGGGGUCGCAACGUGCCCCUCUGUCCCCGCGCCGAAGGUGGAAGCCGCACAGGUGCCGCACUCGCAGCUCGUCCUCCGUCUUCACUUCAGAGCUGAAGCCCCUCCUCCAGCCAGGACCCCCAGCCGCGGGCGCCCAGCCCCAGGCCCAGGUCGCCGGGCCCACCCGCCGGCCCGCCAACGAGCUGGACUGCCUCGACCCCGGGCUGAGCCGCCCACGGCAGGUGGUAUGGCAGCUCAGCGCCGGACACUGCUGGACUCGUGCAUGUCGAUUAAAGGAGCCCGAUGUUUACUGCACGGCGUUCGAGAAGGCCUGAGAAGACGAAUCCCGCAUGAUCUCACUCACAUGUGGAGUCUAUGAAAAGAGAGAGUUGAUGUCCUAGAAGUAGACAGUAGAACAGUGGUUACCAGAGACGGGGGAGGACAGGGGAAGGGACGAUGGGAGGGCCUGGUUAAUGGUACAAAGUUACAAUUAGAUAGGAGGACUAAGUCCUGGUGUUCUGUUGCACAAUAGGGCAUUGAAUAUAACAAAAUAGCUAGAAGAGAGACUUCGAGUGUUCUCACCACAAGGAAAUGAUAAAUGCAUGAGGCUCAGUGCCCUGGUUUGAUCUUUUUUUUUUUUUUUUUUUGACAGCUAUCGGGCUUGAUCAUUAUACAACAUAUAUGUAUAUCGAAACAUGACAUUGUACCCUAUAAAUACAUACAUUGUGUCUAUUACAAAAAUAAAUUUGUAAUAAGUUCCUGCAUUGCCUAAGUACCUGCACUAGGCACCAGCAGAUCAGACUAAAAACUAAAAUGCUAAGUUCCAAGUCAUUUAGGUUGUGGUCUGACCUUCUGAGAAGUCAGGAGAAAGAGAUAGCCAAUGUCCCCAAACAGGGCAGUUUACAUCUUCAAGAGAAACAAUAAUGAAGUUCCCUCUGCUUUUAAUCCUUACACAAAAAAGAUAGCCUGAAGUAACCAGUUAACUAAUUAGUUAACUAAUCAGGCAUUUUUCUACUGUUCUGUCUCCCUAUCCCCACCUGACAAGGAAAGUGAUUUCAAAAUGACCAAUCCACUCUUUGUGCUUUGUUCCUACUUUCUUCGGCCUUUCCUGUCUAUAAAGCCUUUGCUAUUUGUAAUAAACUCUGGAGCACAUCUCUGACUCUGUCCAAUGGUGUUUCUCACGCCGAUGCUCUCAUUUGGCUCCCAUUAAACUUUACAAAAUUA